UUCAUGGAUGUAUAUAUUUUUUCUCCUCUCCCUGGCUGGUGUGCUGUCCCACCUGACUGUGUUAAGGAUGCUGCUUCCCUCCACUGAGCCUGCCGCAGAGUGUCCUGGAGUACUUGAAGUCUUUGAGAGACGACAGGAGCUCAGUAAGAGCUCGGAUGAGAGCGAGGCCUGGGUUGUGCCAGAGCCUACAUGAGGAAGAACAGACCCAGCGCCAAAGUGCUUGUGAUCUUCAGAGAGGCGGUAAGUGAGACUGAAGGAAGACAAUGAGAUUUGCCUAACGUUACCCAGCAGCAUGGUGUC
rnacentral:lncRNA from 1 species